rnacentral:lncRNA from 1 species
GUGUUUUGUUCACGGGAGGAGCUAGGACCACUAGUUAGGCCAUACGUAGCAGCAACCCGUCGGAGUCUGCUCAGUGACUUAUGAUUCUGCUCCACUUCUUCUUGAUAACUGUAAGUUCUCUAGUCAAUCAAUUGCUAAUGAAGUAUGGAUUCAAAUUUUUGUUGGUGUAACAUGGCGAUUUCAUAUCAUGAUUAUCAUUAAGAGGAACUAUUAUUUUUAAGAAUAGUAAAUCGA